ACCUAGUCUGGGAGCAGAAAGGGGAGAGACUGAUGGUUGAAGUCAGAGGGAAGAGAAAAUAGAGUAAGAAAGGGUACAAGCUAGUCAGUGUCCAUGGGAGGACUUGACAUUGGAGCAUGACCUUUAAUGUUUUGAGUACUAAAGGCUUCAGCCCAGAUUUUCCUUUUCCAUCUGAUUAGUGACUAUGAAAACAUGAUUGGGCAUUUCUGCUUCCACUGCCCUCCCAGAUAGUGAAAGUCAAUAAAGAUAUAUUUUUAGAAAGAAAUCAAGAGGUGAGAAAAUAAUGUGGGAGCAGGAUGGAGACACCAUUAUUGCAUCAGUUGAGCAGACCAGCACUAGAAAUGUCUUAAAUGAUAUCUGGAAGGAUAUGGCAAAGGGAGGUGAAAGGUGAUGAGGGAGCCCUGAGAAGGCAGGAGAUGUGGGUGCAAUGUCAGCACUGGUCUGAAGAGAGCUGCUCACAAGUGUGUCAGGGAAGUCAUUCUUUCAGAGGCCUGGGAAGGCUGGAGGCUCUGGGUCACUCUUGGGCUCCCCUGCCCUUGGAAACUUGCCACAGGUCUGGGUUGAGCCUUGCAUUAACUUUUACCAUCUUAAGGAUUGUCACUGGGAGAUGGUCUUGCCCACUCCUGCUGAUUCUGAGCUCCUCUUUCCAUCCCCAUCUCCCUCCAGCCUGACAAUCCCUUUGACCAAGGCUGCUUCACAAAUUGUUACAUCCAGAUGUGUAUGCCACUGGGACCCAAGUACAUGACCGAAGCUGUCAGUCUGCAAAUAGAGCUGGGGACUGAAUGGGAGCCAACAGAGGUACUGAGCUGACUCCUGAGUCCUUGUAUGGGCAUGUGCCACCACACAUGAUAAUUUUAAAAGAGAUGGGAAGGAAGAUUGUUGAAAUUCUUCCCUGUAUUCAUGAGUCUAUGUUAUUUACCUUUCCUCCCUAUAUUUCUGUAGGUCUGAAAUAUUUCAAAUAAAAGUUUUGGUUACAAUGA